CCUACGGGAGGCUGCAGUGGGGAAUAUUGGGCAAUGGGCGCAACUCUGACCCAGCCACGCCGCGUGAAGGAAGACGGCUCUCGGGUUGUAAACUUCUUUUGUCAGGGACGAAGCAAGAGACGGUACCUGCUGAUUAAGCCACGGCUAACUACGUGCCAGCAGUCGCGGUAAUACGGCGGUGGCAGGCGUUAUCCGGAUUUAUUGGGUUUAAAGGGCGUGUAGGCGGGAAUGUAAGUCAGAUGUGAAAACUAGGGGCUCAACCCAUAGCCUGCAUUUGAAACUGCAUUUCUUGAGUGCUGGGGAGGCAGUCGGAAUUCGGGGUGUAGCGGUGAAAUGCGUAGAUAUACGGAGGAACACCAGUGGCGAAGGCGGAUUGCUGUACAGUAACUGACGCUGAGGCGCGAAGGCGUGGGGAGCAAACAGGAUUAGAUACCCCUGUAGUC
rnacentral:rRNA from 1 species